rnacentral:tRNA from 1 species
GCGAAAGUGGCGGAAUAGGUAGACGCACUGGAUUUAGGUUCCAGCGCCGCAAGGCGUGAGGGUUCGAGUCCCUCCUUUCGCACCA